rnacentral:lncRNA from 1 species
UCAUAUACGUUAGGAGUGGUGUUGUUCAACAACUACCUAAAUAUACACUAUCUCCUGAGUAAUACAUACUAAAUAGGCAUAGUCGACUGAGGGCCCUUCAAUCAACACCAAUCACAAUAUAGUUGAACAAAGAGAAAGAAUAUAAAGGCAAAUCUAUAUAAACAUAGCAAGAAAAUUAUUCUCAACGAGGUUCCAUCAAAACCCUAGAUUAAAUAUUUUGCGACUCAUGGUAAAACAAGAUAAAGCCAACAAAUAAUUUAUAAUUUACAAAAUAAUAACAACAAGAAGAAGAAUGAAAACUCUAAUGGUGUCUCGAUCUUCUCACACUUGUUCUUGCCUCCAAUUGAGUCUAAAAAUAAGUUUAACCUUCACUUAAGUGAGUUUGUUGAGUUUAUAUAUGGCUAGGAUAAGUUUCCCACACUUUAUACUUUAGCCCUUAAGCUUUUUUUGGCUUUCUCCAGAUCGACCGCGGUCAUUUAAGACUUUCUGUUUUUCGCCUUUCUUUCACCACGUUCCAGCGGCGGCCCUACCGCGGUUGCGGUGGACUGUUGCCCAGUUUUUCUUCGCCUUUUCUUGCUCGUUUUCAUCCGGGUUUUUUUCGAUUAGUCUUGUACCUAUAUAUUUGACCCCAAAAAUACUCUAUAUCCUCCUCCUAAUUCGGAGUAGCUCCUGCAAAGCUUAAAAAUCUCAAUUAGAGCAUUUUGUUAUCAUAUAACACUUAAAAUAUCAGUAAAGCAUAAUUAAUUUAGCGCAUAAAUAGUAUCUACAUCGCAUAAUAUAGGCUAUUAUCACUCGCUAACUACGGGAAUGUGGAUGAGCCAAACUUCAAACUGAGGGUAAAAUGAGACCUUCUCGCAAAGAAUAAGAGCAAAACCCUUUUCCUACGAUUAUUUUAAUUAGUCUCAAGUGAGUUAGAUUAGAAAUCUUAUCACGUGGCUAGCCCCACUAAAAAAAUGCAGCUCUAAGCAACCCCAAACACUAAGGAGACGUUUGAUAGGAGGUAUUAGAAAAAAUAAUACAAGUAUUUAUUUUUUAUGCAUUACUUAUACCAUAUUUGGUAUAUUUUUUUAGCCUACGUAUAACUAAGUAUUAGUUAUACAUCAUACUUGGUAUUAUCCUAUGCAUAAGUAAUGCUUAGAAAACUAUGACAUUAGUAACACCAAGGUUAUUAAUGAAUGCAUUAGUAUAUUCAAGACAAAAUUAUCCUUAAAGUCCCUUAAAGCUGGAGAAUACGGAAGGUAUUUUUGUAAACAACUGUUUUUCUUAAAAAUUAUGCAAUGCAUUAUAAUUUUAAUACACCACACCAAACAAUAUAUAAGAAAUAAUAUAUGCAUAACUAAUACUUGCAUUACUAACCCAUGCAUUACUAAUCCAUGCAUUACUAAUACACCUUAUUCCGCGCUAUUCUUAUACAUCCUACCAAACGGGGCCACACCACCUUCAUUCCGUAUUAAACCCUCUAGCUCCUUAACGACACAACCAAAAAGUGAUAUGGACAAAGAAAAGAGAAAAAUAAUUCUCCUACUUUGAUUCGUCGUCAACUCCAUUUUGUGUUAAAAUAUGUGGUUACUCAACAGACCUUCAGUGCUCCAGAGAUUUUUUCACAAGAUUCACUAUACUUCUCUAUGCUUUUCAAUAUCCUUCUAACUUAGCUAGAUACAUUAGCUACUCAUUGCUUUAAAAACACUCUGAAUUUUAUUGAUAGAAUAUUUUUAUAUAUGAGCUUGGUAUUUUCAAGAAAACAAGACUUCUUUUCUCUCCCA